CGGAGAAGCGUAUUUCCAGGGCAACUUCUUAUGUGGUCACACUUACCAUGAUGUAAUCAAUCAAACGAAGGCUCACAGAAAAAUUUAUUAACUCAGCAGAGAAAAGGCUCCUGCCAGGUCUAGCAGAGUUAUUAAUACUGCAAACGAAUGCUGAAUUGAUGAUCAGGAAGAGAGGGCAGAUGGAGAGCAGGCCGGGCCAAGGCAGCCAAGGGCGUGUGCAGGGCAGCGGCAGCCAGGUGAGGAGCCACGAGGAGUCCAACCUCCGUGUGUGCGGAAGAGAGACUAUACAGUCAGUAUUACUCCUGCUAAAUACCCAGAGGGACCACAACCAACUUUCCUGGUCUGUGUUCCAUUAUACAAAAGAGGACUACAAAGAAAAGGACUGUGGAAAUAAAUGCAUACUCUUCUUUUGAAAUUCGUGAGGAAUGUUCAUGAUUUUUAACCAUAAGACAGCAAAAUGGGAUAAGGUGAUAAACAAUGCAAACGGUACUGUAACUGUUAAAGAAAAAAAGGAAGAAAUGCAAAGAAAAAAGAAAGUCAUCACUAGGAAUCUUAAAUUCUGAAAAAAAGAGUUCAAAAAGAUCUAAUGGGGAGAAGAGAACUUUCCAACUGUUGUCAUCCUGCUAUUGUAACCUGAGCCCCUCCCAAGUUUUCAGACUCCAAAAUCAGAUCUAAUUAAAAGAAAAUGGAAAAGGACUUGGAGCCUUUUCAGCUCUGGAUAACAUGCAGACAAAUAAAUUAAAAAGGGGGAGAAGUGGAACUAACCCAAUAAUCCGUGAAAAGCUCAUUUCCCUCCCGGCCGCCACUGAUGCAACACUGUCCUUCCUCCCUCCCAUCCUCUGGUUCAGGGGCAGUGAGUGGAGAAAUUGGCUAACAAGAUCAGAAAAUUUAAUUACAGCUCUGCCGUCCCCUUCCGAGAAGUUGGCUGUCACACUUCCCUUUUGCAGAUCGUCGUCUGAAUGUGCUGUCUCUGAUGAGCUUCCCCUCCGCCCCAGUCUCACUCAUCUCCCGACAUCGGCUCGGGACGGUGGACACAGACACUUUAAUUUGGGGGUUUAGAAGGAUUAGAUAUGAAGAUUAAAAGGAGCAGUUGGAGAAGAGAAUGUCGUUAUCCUCUCAUUUCCUUUGGUCUGCCUGAGCAACUUUGCCCAGUCUUAUCCCAAGAGAAGUACUGUGGGAGCCCCAAAGGCUUAGCAUCCUCGCAUUCCAGACCUAAAGAAGCCCUGAGACCCUGUAGAAGGAGCAGACACACCUGCAUUCAAGUGUCUGUUUUGCAUGCUGACUCAGAGAUACAGGAACGGCUUCCUUGAGCAGUGUUUCUAGCAAGAUUCUGAAAUGCUUUGGGCUCAAAACAAACACACGAACAAAAGAAUAAUGUGGUCCAUUAAUGAUUUCUUCCAGGGGGGUAGAAUGCAGAAUGGUGUCAAAAGAACCAAGUGUUUGCCAUUUCUGUUCUAGGGCAGCCAGAGGUUUAUGUCCAAAUCCAGUGUGCAAACCACUGGAGAGUGACAUGGAACAGGUGUCUUCAAAAUUCAAAGUUUAGCCAAUUAAAAAAAGGACUCUUGGUUUGCUUCUCUGUCACUAGGCAAAGCAAGGUAGUCAGACAAACUGUGCAGAGGUUCCCGGCCUUCACGUGACUGAGAUGCUAUUUCUCUUCACAGAAUGUAGUCGGCCCCUAUGUCCUCAGACCACCACAGGUCUCCUCCUAGAUUAGGGCAAGAGACAUAAGCCCAGAAAAGUGACUGUGGUAAUAAGGGGCAGUCUCCUGCUAGUGUGUCAGGGAUCCUUAACUUGGCCCGGUCAAUGCUGCUGGGAAGACAGUGCAGCAGGAGGAAGAGGAGCCAGCCAAGGAAAGACAG
ensembl:lncRNA